rnacentral:rRNA from 1 species
GACGUUACUAACGACGAUAUGCUUUGGGGAGCUGUAAGUAAGCUUUGAUCCAGAGAUUUCCGAAUGGGGAAACCCAGCAUGAGUUAUGUCAUGUUAUCGAUAUGUGAAUACAUAGCAUAUCAGAAGGCACACCCGGAGAACUGAAACAUCUUAGUACCCGGAGGAAGAGAAAGAAAAUUCGAUUCCCUUAGUAGCGGCGAGCGAAACGGGAAGAGCCCAAACCAACAAGCUUGCUUGUUGGGGUUGUAGGACACUCUAUACGGAGUUACAAAGGACGACAUUAGACGAAUCAUCUGGAAAGAUGAAUCAAAGAAGGUAAUAAUCCUGUAGUCGAAAAUGUUGUCUCUCUUGAGUGGAUCCUGAGUACGACGGAGCACGUGAAAUUCCGUCGGAA